CCUACGGGAGGCAGCAGUGAGGAAUAUUGGUCAAUGGACGAGAGUCUGAACCAGCCAAGUAGCGUGAAGGAUGACUGCCCUAUGGGUUGUAAACUUCUUUUAUAUGGGAAUAAAAUGUUCCACGUGUGGGAUUUUGUAUGUACCAUAUGAAUAAGGAUCGGCUAACUCCGUGCCAGCAGCCGCGGUAAUAUGGAGGAUCCGAGCGUUAUCCGGAUUUAUUGGGUUUAAAGGGAGCGUAGGUGGAUUGUUAAGUCAGUUGUGAAAGUUUGCGGCUCAACCGUAAAAUUGCAGUUGAAACUGGCAGUCGUGAGUACAGUAGAGGUGGGCGGAAUUCGUGGUGUAGCGGUGAAAUGCUUAGAUAUCACGAAGAACUCCGAUUGCGAAGGCAGCUCACUGGACUGCAACUGACACUGAGGCUCGAAAGUGUGGGUAUCAAACAGGAUUAGAUACCCCUGUAGUC
rnacentral:rRNA from 1 species